GACGAACGCUGGCGGCGUGCCUAAUACAUGCAAGUUGAGCGCUGAAGGUUGGUACUUGUACCAACUGGAUGAGCAGCGAACGGGUGAGUAACGCGUGGGGAAUCUGCCUUUGAGCGGGGGACAACAUUUGGAAGCGAAUGCUAAUACCGCAUAAAAACUUUAAACACAAGUUUUAAGUUUGAAAGAUGCAAUUGCAUCACUCAAAGAUGAUCCCGCGUUGUAUUAGCUAGUUGGUGAGGUAAAGGCUCACCAAGGCGAUGAUACAUAGCCGACCUGAGAGGGUGAUCGGCCACAUUGGGACUGAGACACGGCCCAAACUCCUACGGGAGGCAGCAGUAGGGAAUCUUCGGCAAUAGACGAAAGUCUGACCGAGCAACGCCGCGUGAGUGAAGAAGGUUUUCGGAUCGUAAAACUCUGUUGGUAGAGAAGAACGUUGGUGAGAGUGGAAAGCUCAUCAAGUGACGGUAACUACCCAGAAAGGGACGGCUAACUACGUG
rnacentral:rRNA from 1 species